AUUGAACGCUGGCGGCAUGCUUUACACAUGCAAGUCGAACGGUAACAGGCCGCAAGGUGCUGACGAGUGGCGAACGGGUGAGUAAUGCAUCGGAACGUGCCCAGUCGUGGGGGAUAACUACUCGAAAGAGUAGCUAAUACCGCAUACGAUCUAUGGAUGAAAGCGGGGGACCGUAAGGCCUCGCGCGAUUGGAGCGGCCGAUGUCAGAUUAGGGAGUUGGUGGGGUAAAGGCUCACCAAGCCAACGAUCUGUAGCUGGUCUGAGAGGACAACCAGCCACACUGGGACUGAGACACGGCCCAGACUCCUACGGGAGGCAGCAGUGGGGAAUUUUGGACAAUGGGCGCAAGCCUGAUCCAGCAAUGCCGCGUGCAGGAAGAAGGCCUUCGGGUUGUAAACUGCUUUUGUACGGAACGAAACGGCUCUGGUUAAUACCCGGGGCUAAUGACGGUACCGUAAGAAUAAGCACCGGCUAACUACGUG
rnacentral:rRNA from 1 species